rnacentral:rRNA from 1 species
UAAUACGUAGGCAGCAAGCGUUGUUCGGAAUUACUGGGCGUAAAGGGUGCGUAGGCGGUUUCGCAAGUUUGGUGUGAAAUCUCCCGGCUUAACUGGGAGGGUGCGCCGAAAACUGCGAAGCUAGAGUGCGGGAGAGGAGAGUGGAAUUCCUGGUGUAGCGGUGAAAUGCGUAGAUAUCAGGAGGAACACCUGUGGUGUAGACGGCUCUCUGGACCGCAACUGACGCUGAUGCACGAAAGCGUGGGGAGCAAACAGGAUUAGAUACCCUGGUAGUCCACGCCCUAAACGAUGCACACUUGGUGUGGGUGAUUCAUUUCAUCCGUGCCGGAGCUAACGCGUUAAGUGUGCCGCCUGGGGAGUACGGUCGCAAGGCUG